CGCAGGGGGUAAGAUACAGGGCUGUGGGAACGGGAAGAGGAACAGGCAGCGGCAGGCGGGGCACAGGGGGAGUGGCAGCCGGGGGAGGAGGAGAGCUCCCGGGGGUUGCGGCCGGGGCGAGGCGAGGUGGCUGCGUCAGCAAGCGGCUUCCAGGACCUGAGCAGUUCAGUUUCAAAUGGGUGCCUGUGCGAGCCGUGCCGUACCCCUCUGUCCUCCUGUCACCACCGGGUCGCCUGGACCCGAGCUUUCCACUGUCUGUGAGGUUUUCCACAGACUCCGUACUUUGCGCAGAGUGGAAUCAUACGCCGUUGCUCAGUCCUCGUUUGUCAGAUGGGAGGAGGUUAAAUGCCUUGGCUAGAACUACAGAAAGCCCUUACAAGAACAUAAAUGUGGGCCAGAUAAGCCUGUGUAAAUCAUGGACAGGCAUGAACUGCCAAAGAAGGAACCAGUACACUCAUUUGCCUUUAUAACAGCCUAAGUAUCAUGUAAUAUCCAGGUUCAUCUCAAUCUCCUAGUUACCAUGGGUCAGGCUGUGCAGCUGGAUGACGAGAAAUUUUUGGUGCAUUAGUGCCAAAUGUAUUUUAAAGGAGACUACCUCACUGCCAGGCCAAACUUGUCAUGGGCAUUAGUGGUUUGCUGGGGCCUUCCAUACCCUGGCAAGAGCAUUUCAGCAACUUACCUCUUAAAGAGACUGUUCUUGGAGUCUGCCGGGGAGAUUGAACUGCUUGAUGAGAUAAAUAUGGAGAUACGUAUUUUGAAGAUCCAGGUUUGGGGUUUCUUGAGGCCUCAGCUAACAAUCCUGUCAGUGCUUGAACAGGUUUGUGUGUGUGUGUGCUGCCAGAGGCAAGUACCCAGCUGGCACUUAGGGCAGUUUAAGUCAGUGAUGACCAAAUGGUAAAUUUAAAAUAAAUGAUCACGUCCAAGAUCUAUGUACACAAUAUGCAUGCACUAGUUUCAGUGGGUUCACUUGCAAUUUAAGCAUGUUAAUGCAUAUUUUGGGCCUGGUAGUUUGCAAAUUUUUGUUGUGGAGGUUCAUAGAUUAGAUACUUGGACUAUUUUAACAAAUAGCCAUUUUUGCAUUUAAGGUACAUUACUGGAAAUCAGAGAAAGUUCACUGAAACACAUAAUGAACAAAUUCUGGCUACUUUGUCUUUUUUUCUUUUUUUCAUUUUCUUUUUAUUUUUAUCUUCCUUCUCAAUUCAUUCUCCUUUUGCAGAAGGCAAUCACCCUUUCUCCAUGCCCUCCUGAACACUUACCUUCUCAGUGAGGCCCUGGCACUAGUCUAUCUAAGUAAAAGGUUAGAUGUGUUGUGAAAACACGGAGUGGGAAAGAGUCUUUGUUUAAGUUCUUGAGUUUUAUCUGCCUGUUUAGACUGUGACUCUGGUUAAAAAACUUUUGAAUUGUAUAAUAAAACCUCCACAGAAUUUAGUAUUUAAAAAAUGCUAAAAGAGCCUAUGUGUGCAUGUAUACACACACACACUAUAUAUACAUAUAGUCUGUGCAUCUGUACUAUUUGCUGAAUUGACUGCCUCAGGAGAAAGGUGUUGUAGGUGUCUAGGCUUAUUUUAAAUUGGAAAUGUAACUAAAAUUGAUGAUGUGACAAAAGGUGACUGCCUAAUCAGACUUCUCAAUGUUA